rnacentral:rRNA from 1 species
AUGAUGAUCCCGGCGAGGCACAUGCCGUCGUCGAUGAUCGGCCGGAGCAGCGGCGGCGCGCCCUACGGAUCCUCAUCAGCACUGUCGCUUGGCCAGCCAAACCUGCUGGACGGCAGCAACCAGCACCUCCUGCCGCACCACCUCCUGGAGCAGAUCCCGGCGCGCGCAGCGGAGAGCGGCGACAACAACGGCAGCGUCGGCGGCGGCGUGGGCAUGAUCCGCGGGCGUGACUCCAUGGACCCGCUGGGGGACGAGUUCGAGAGCCGGUCCGGCAGCGAGAACGUGGACGGCGACGCCGUGGACAACGCGGAGCAGGAGCAGGACCCCAACCAGCGGCCGCGCAAGAAGCGCUACCACCGCCACACCCAGCACCAGAUCCAGGAGAUGGAAGCGUUCUUCAAGGAGUGCCCGCACCCUGACGACAAGCAGCGCAAGGAGCUGAGCCGGGAGCUGGGGCUGGAGCCCCUCCAGGUCAAGUUCUGGUUCCAGAACAAGAGGACCCAAAUGAAGAACCAGCACGAGAGGCACGAGAACUCGCAGCUGCGGGCGGACAACGACAAGCUGCGGGCCGAGAACAUGCGCUACAAGGAGGCGCUCAGCAGCGCGUCCUGCCCCAACUGCGGCGGCCCGGCGGCGCUCGGCGAGAUGUCGUUCGACGAGCACCACCUCCGCGUCGAGAACGCGCGCCUGCGCGACGAGAUCGACCGCAUCUCCGCCAUCGCCGCCAAGUACGUCGGCAAGCCCAUGGUGCCCUUCCCGGUGCUCUCCAGCCCGCUCGCCGCCGCCCCCGGGGCCUCCGCCUACGACGUCUUCGCCGGGGCCGCCUCCGUGCUGCAGGCGCCGCCCGACGACAAGCAGCAGGGCGUCGUCGUCGAGCUGGCUGUGGCAGCUAUGGAGGAGCUGCUCCGCAUGGCGCGCCUCGACGACCCGCUCUGGGCCACCACGGUGGACCAGGCGCUCGCGCUGGACGAGGAGGAGUAUGCCAGGAUGUUCAUCGACCCACGCGGCGGCCUUGGGCCGAAGCAGUAUGGCCUCGUCUCUGAGGCAUCGCGCGACGCCGCCGUCGUCAUCAUGACCCCCGCCAGCCUCGUCGAGAUCCUCAUGGACGUCAACCAGUACGCGGCGGUGUUCUCGAGCAUCGUGUCGAGGGCGGCGACCCUGGAGGUGCUGUCCACCGGCGUGGCCGGGUGCUACGACGGCGCGCUGCAGGUCAUGUCGGUGGAGUUCCAGGUGCCGUCGCCGCUGGUGCCGACGAGGGAGAGCUACUUCGUGCGCUACUGCAAGCGCAACGCUGAUGGGGCCUGGGCCGUCGUGGACGUGUCGCUGGACGGCCUGCAGGGGGUCAAGUGCCGGCGCAGGCCCUCCGGCUGCCUCAUCCAGGAGGCGCCCAACGGCUACUCCAAGGUGACGUGGGUGGAGCACGUGGAGGUGGACGACAGGUCCGUGCACAAUAUCUACAAGCCGCUGGUCGGCUCCGGCCUCGCCUUCGGUGCACGCCGGUGGGUCGGCGUCCUCGGCCGACAGUGCGAGCGCCUUGCCAGCGCCAUGGCCAGCAACAUCCCAACCAGCGAUAUCGGAGUGAUCACUAGCUCGGAGGGGAGGAAGAGCAUGCUAAAGCUAGCGGAGAGGAUGGUCGCGAGCUUCUGUGGCGGCGUGACGGCCUCUGUGGCGCACCAAUGGACCACGCUGUCAGGCAGCGGCGCCGAGGACGUGAGGGUCAUGACCAGGAAAAGCGUCGACGACCCCGGGAGGCCACCAGGCAUUGUCCUCAACGCCGCCACCUCCUUCUGGCUCCCCGUCCCACCUAAGCGCGUCUUCGACUUCCUCCGCGACGAGACCUCUCGCAGUGAGUGGGACAUCCUCUCCAAUGGCGGCAUCGUCCAAGAAAUGGCUCACAUCGCCAAUGGCCGCGACCAUGGCAACUGCGUCUCGCUCCUCCGUGUCAAUAGCACCAACUCUAACCAAAGCAACAUGCUGAUCCUGCAAGAGAGCUGCACAGACGCGUCAGGCUCCUACGUCAUCUACGCGCCGGUGGACGUGGUGGCCAUGAACGUGGUGCUCAACGGCGGCGACCCAGACUACGUCGCGCUCCUGCCAUCAGGCUUCGCCAUCCUGCCCGACGGUCCUGCAGGGACAAUGCACGCCGCGGCAGGGGCAACCGGCACCGGUGGGUCGCUCCUGACGGUGGCGUUCCAGAUCCUGGUCGACUCCGUCCCCACUGCCAAGCUCUCCCUAGGGUCGGUGGCCACCGUCAACAGCCUCAUCGCCUGCACCGUGGAGCGCAUCAAGACCGCCGUCAUCUCCAAUGGCGGCGCCUCACCCCCGCAGUAG